AAGUUUUUAGUAUAUUAGUACAUUUACCUUCCAAGUAAAAAGAUUACCAAACUGUAAAAAACUUA
rnacentral:tRNA from 1 species